CUUGUACUCCCUCCAUCCGAAAAUACUUGUCAUUGAAAUGGAUGUAUCUAGAUGUAUUUUAGUUCUAGACACAUCCAUUUUGAUGACAAGUAAUUUUGGACGGAGGGAGUACUUG
rnacentral:pre_miRNA from 1 species